GAGUCUCCACAGGGUUGUAGUCUGGCACUGGGAAGCCAGAAGAGGCAGAAAGAAACAUCAAAGCAGAACAACUCUGGCUGUGGCGGCUCAGAAGUCCUGGCAACCCGACUUCCGGUGAGAGAACCCCACCUGGCAAACCUAACUUCCGGUGGAGGAAUCCCACCCGGGAUUGAGAGAUGAAGGAACCAAGGCUCAGAGAGGUGCUUUGACUCACCCAAGGAGACCCAGCUGAGAACCUGCCUUAGGUCUGAUCAGACAGCUUGGCUACAAAGCCUUCAUCAUACAUCACCAGAGCUUCUCUCUAAGAGACCCAAUAUGCCAGUGCUGGGUGAGUGGGUGGACUCCUGCAAGAAAAGCCCCUCCCCCUCCCACGUCUGCUGCGUUCAUCAUAUCCCCAUCAACCUCUUGCUGGGCAAGAGUGGAAGCUCAGCAAUCAGUCAAAAGAAAGGCUCUGUUGCCAGUGACCACGCCCCUCUGCUCACCUUUGGCCAAGGCCAGGUGGUACUUAAGUGCUUGCGCUUUCCCCGAGUGUUGAGUGUUGGGAGAUCAUUGGAUCCCUGCCCUGGCUCCGACACCCUGCCAAGUGUCUUUCCUUCAAAGUUGGAGAUAUUUCUGUCCCUGAAAUGCUCACAUUUCAGCACCUUGCUGAGGUCUUUUGGAAGAGACUGGCUGGUGGGAGGCUGAUCGCCAGGCUCUGCAGAGCCAGGGGACUUGGGACAGGGCUCCCCACCAGCUGGUCUGAAUGUGUGUGGCUCAAACUCCGGUAGGAGAGCUUCACAUGCAAGCAAGUGAGGCGGAUCAGAGGCUCAAAACAAGGGCCUGGGGCAUUGCAAACCAUUUUUAUGGCUGUUUUCUUUUCCAAGACAGGGUUUUUCUCUGUAACCCUGGCUGUCCUGGGAUUCUCUCUCUCUGUAAAUGAGGCUGGUCUCCAACUCACAGACAUCUGCCUGCUUCUGCCUCCAAAGUGCUGGGAUUAAAAGCUUGCACGAUUACUGCCCAGCUUAAGUGCUGUGGACUUUGAAUUCAGCAAGCCAAAUUUUAACCCCAGUACUGCCUUUUCCAGUGGGUGACUGAGCUGAUCGCUUUUGCACCUUAGUAGACUGAAGCCCAUGGUAGCAGUUGCCUUGUAGGCUUAGAGAAGUGUCAGCCUUCAAUAAAAAUGGAUCAUUACCUGAACAUC
rnacentral:lncRNA from 1 species